rnacentral:tmRNA from 1 species
GGGGGCGUAAAGGUUUCGACGGGGACGUUGAGGCGUAAUAAGCGGGUCGAGCCGGGUAAUCUCGAUAACUGCCCAAACUUAAAAAACAAACGACAACAAUCAGUUUGCAAUGGCUGCUUAAUCGGUUUUCCGAUUGAGCGGUGCCGUCACCCUGCGGGGUGGCCCGUUCCGGCGAAGAGUAUCGCGGCUUUGCACGGAGCGUCAUGUAGCGGUGAACGUGAGUCGGAAGUGACCUUUGUACCGACCACGCAUAAAAGGUUGCUCCUCGGAAUAUCCCGCGCGUCGGAUAUCCGAGGAGGAGAUUUGAAGGCGUGAUACACCCGUAGAAAGUUGCGUUAAGAUGUUUUCGGACAGGAGUUCGACUCUCCUCGCCUCCACCA